UAUUGGACAAUGGAGGAAACUCUGAUCCAGCCAUGCCGCGUGAGUGAUGAAGGCCUUCGGGUUGUAAAGCUCUUUGAUUGGAGACAAUAAUGAUGGUAUCCAAAGAACAAGCCCCGGCUAACUCUGUGCCAGCAGCCGCGGUAAUACAGAGGGGGCUAGCGUUGUUCGGAAUUACUGGGCGUAAAGCGUGCGUAGGCGGCCUAGUAAGUCAGAAGUAAAGCCCAAGGCUUAACCUUGAAUUGCUUUUAUACUGCAGGCUUAAGGUGGAGAGGAUAGUGAAUUCUAGUGAGAGUGAAUCCGAGUUAAGGAACACCAGUGGCGAGCACAUCUGGCCCUUCUAGCGCUGCAUCAGACAGUACUG
rnacentral:rRNA from 1 species